UACGUAGGGGGCAAGCGUUGUCCGGAAUCAUUGGGCGUAAAGAGCGCGUAGGCGGCCCUGUAAGUCCGCUGUGAAAGUCAAGGGCUCAACCCUUGGAUGCCGGUGGAUACUGCAGGGCUAGAGUCCGGAAGAGGCGAGUGGAAUUCCUGGUGUAGCGGUGAAAUGCGCAGAUAUCAGGAGGAACACCGAUGGCGAAGGCAGCUCGCUGGGACGGUACUGACGCCUGAGGCGCGAAAGCGUGGGGAGCAAACAGGAU
rnacentral:rRNA from 1 species